GUUUGAUGGCCGCGGCCGGCGGAAGGGACGCGUGCGGAAGGAGCCCGCCAUGGCGCAAGAAUGGCAGCGAGGAGUGAAAGUUGUGACUCCCGUAUACAGAGUUAUGGAGGAGGUGUAGUUGUAUUUUUGUAUUCAGACUGAUUAUUUUCCCCAUAUCAAACCUAACUAUUAACCCUGCUCUGAAAUUCUACAGGAAGCUCUGAGGAGCAAGAAAAUAAAAUCUGAACACUCACAUUGGAGGAACUACGAUUGUCUCAAGCAGUACUUCUGAGAAGAUGACUCUGUCUGGCUUGGAUUUAAGGCAGGCAGCAGUAACAAAUUCGUGUCUGAUGACUUACACAGCCAUGAAACCAGCUUCCUGGAUUGUAAAUAUUCUGCAUGUUGAUCCAACGAUUAUGCUCAUUUGAUUAAGAUUAGGGAAAUAAUUCAUGAGAUGUCCUACAUGGAGAAAGAAAGCUGGAAAAUGACCAGAAAGUUGCCAUCAAGUUCCUGUCGGAGUACAUGAACAUGAUAGUCUUGAGCAAUUAGAAAUAUUGGAUGUAAGGAAUCGUAAUGCCGAAGUAGAUAAUGGAGAAGGAUCUGCCCUUUAUCCUCAUAGAGUGCAAAGUAAUCUUCUGGUGUACGCAUAUGCAUGGGACCCAUCCACCCUGUAUGCUCAUAGAGUGCAAGGUAAUUCCGUCGCUGCCUGCUGCUUGAGUGCCUUUGUUUGUUGACACUAUGGUUACUUUUUUAAUCGCCAACACUAUGGUUGACAUUAUGUAGAAAUAUAAUUCUAUAACCUGAAGUAAUGCAACACUUGCUAUGAUUCUGUUUUCCUGGUCAAGAUCAACAAUUAGUAGUGGCCUGGUGUGUUUCCAUUAGAUUAUGUUCAUUAUGGGUUUCCUUUGAGCCAUCUAGAUAUUGAAUGCUCCGCAUGAGCCAUCUAGAUAUUAUUGCUAGAUAGGAUCAACUUGCAGUUCCUGUAAUACCGUAUUGCUAUAAUCAUAUGUUAAAAAAAUCAGAGCCAACAUGGUCAUUAUAUUUCUUUAACAGCUUAAGACAUGUAGUGUGAUCAACUAAAGGAGGGUAAUAUUAGAUGAUCAACUUUCUACACUUCGAUUCUUCUGCAAGUAUGUUAUGUGUGUUAUUUUAUGUAAGAAGAAUAGUUUUUAUUGCCACAUAAACUAGAAAGAUAAGGUCAGAGAUAAAAUAUAUUGUAAGGCACAUAGUUAUAGUACAUUGUUAUUUGAAUUUUAGUCAUAUACUACCUCCGUACAACAAAGUAAGACGUUUUAGUAGGCUUUUUUAGCUCACUAAAAUGUCUUAUAUUUUGUAAUAGAGGGAGUAAAUAUUUUAGAAGUACUUUUCGAGGUGUAUGCUUAAGGUGGCUACAAGUUGCAGCUGUAGUUCGUUUUAUUUAGUGAUUUCCCCAUGUAUUUAAAUGGUUAAUGAUUAUAUUAUAAACUCAUGAUUUUUCCAUGUGAUAUAUGUAACUUUUAAUCUCAGGUCCAUACAACUUUUUACAUCGAGUUCCUGUACGAUACAUUGGGGUAGGAGGUACUCUUUUGAAAGCCAACACUCUAGGUAGCUCUUUUGGUCAAAUGGUUCUUGGUUUUUUUUUUCUGUUUGACUUGAUCUUUAUUCGCAGAACCAACACCACUAUACACUUUUGUAGCUUAGAAUGUUGUCCUUCAUCAAACACAUGUACGUCUAGGGCUAAAUGAUAAGCUGACAAUUUGACCUCCAUUGCGAUGCUUGUGCAUCCCUACAAUUUGCUCUGCUCCCCUGGGGAUGCAAGGUGGAGCAAGGUCGCUACGCUAUAAUGAUGCAAUUAGAGAGUUGUACCAGUUUGCCCAUUGCCAGGCGAUCCAGCACUACCAGGAAAGGUUGCUACAUGUUGAAGUUCAUCAAAAAGGGUUUGCGUUAUCGGCAGUUCCUCAUACGACCAUAUCUGCCUCUUCCUUACACACGCAAGUCAGUCUCUGUUGCGCCUUUGACUGUUGUUGCCAUGCCACGGCUUGCAAAACCGUCAUGCCGGUUAACAUACACUUCAUGCUUCAAUGAUGAUCUACUUUAUGGGGGAAAUCGCAUGUGGGCAACUGGAGUAUGCUAGCUGUGCUGGUAAGGGACGCUCGUGUACCAAGCCAUCAAGAAAUUAGGUCUAGCAUGACAGUUCCUAGCCAUGCUAGCUAAUUUUUUAAUCGUGAUUUGUAGCAACUUAUGGGUAUUUAGCUAUAGUUUAAAGAGAUAUGAUUGCAUCUGUUUGUGUAUGGGGUUCGUGCAUUAGGGGAAGCCACUAUGCUGGUGAGAGAUUGAUCGAUAGUGAGAAGGAUCAGAAGAGUUGACAGCAGGGGAUAUUUUUUGUUGCUAUU